AGUGAACGCUGGCGGUAGGCCUAACACAUGCAAGUCGAACGGCAGCACAGUAAGAGCUUGCUCUUACGGGUGGCGAGUGGCGGACGGGUGAGGAAUACAUCGGAAUCUACUUUUUCGUGGGGGAUAACGUAGGGAAACUUACGCUAAUACAGCAUACGACCUACGGGUGAAAGCAGGGGAUCUUCGGACCUUGCGCGAUUGAAUGAGCCGAUGUCGGAUUAGCUAGUUGGCGGGGUAAUGGCCCACCAAGGCGACGAUCCGUAGCUGGUCUGAGAGGAUGAUCAGCCACACUGGAACUGAGACACGGUCCAGACUCCUACGGGAGGCAGCAGUGGGGAAUAUUGGGCAACAGGCGCAAGCCUGAUCCAGCCAUACCGCGUGGGUUAAGAAGGCCUUCGGGUUGUAAAGCCCUUUUGUUGGGAAAGAAAAGCAGCAGGUUAAUACCCCGCUGUUCUGACGGUACCCAAAGAAUAAGCACCGGCUAACUUCGUG
rnacentral:rRNA from 1 species